AUUUGUGUCGGCAACCUUUUCGUUCAAUUGCUGUUGACGUUUUGAUUUCUGCGUUCAUUGAAUUUCAAUAUCUGUCAGUGGUGAUACAAAACAGUGUUUACAAUAUUGGCGCAUCUGUUUCUAUGAACGAACGAGAUGAAAUGCCAUCAAUAUGCAAGUUCUCUUGAUAUACCGUCCGGGAAAAGUGCUGAAUUGGUCAAGGAUGCGUAUAAUAUUGGAGAUUGAGCAAGAAGCACAGAAUCCGCUGGAUGUGUUUUUUCCAAGUUAACAGCAAUUGUUGCUGUCUGUUGUUAUCAGCGAGCCGAAAUAAGUAUGUUAGAUAGCCUAAGAUUGGAUAAUUCUGGUCAGAUUUCCCGGGAAACCGUUAUCAUCCCUGAUUCUCGAUUGUACCAUGUGCGAAGGUGCGGUCUGCGAAUAUGUGACCCCUGGGAGAAUUUUUCAUAUUUAGCGUUAGUGUAUACAUAAAUCAUUCUUUAGAAGAAUUGUUGAAAAUUUUUCUGUUUUCUUUAUAUAAUUCUUUUCGGCUGUAUUCUUAUUUCAAUGAUUUUUUUAUGUUUGUAAAUAUUGUUUGCUGGUUUGUGGUAUUACUCCAACGAAAAAUAAAUAUAUACAUCCAUUUUUUAGAAAUA